UAGCCCCAGCCGACAGCUCAACUAAAGCCUCAUAAGACAUCCUGCGCCAGAGCCACAUAACCAAGUUGCUCCCAAAUUUCUGACCCACAGAAGAUGUGAGAUGAUGUCUAUUGCUUGAAGUCAUUAAGCACUAGGAUGGUUCAGGCUGCCAUGCUGAGAAUACACCGGGGACAGGGACGCCACUGAGCAGGCAGUCACCAGGAGGAAGAGGAUGCUUGGGGCUCUGGUGGUGACAAGGAGGAGAGAAGGCCUUGCCAGCAUUUGGUAUUGUCGGUGCUCUGGAUUAGGACCAUUCUAAGAGGAAAGCCCCGCUUCCAUCACAUCUGUCAGACGGAAUGUCAAAAAACACACUGAGGUUCAAUAAAUUAAUGGAUUGCCUAUUGCAGCCGUGGGCACCCACACAGUAGAAGCCGCUCCCUCCAGGAAAUACUGGCACCAUCCAAUCAUCACAGAGAAGGGCGAUUGCCAUCCUCUCUCCUGCCAUGGCCCAUCUGAGCCAGGAAAGAAAGAACUGAUCAGUGUCACGUAACAUCUAAAAAGGUAGCAAGUAAUUUAAUUCACACAAAAUGAAGCCAAAGUUGUGGACAUUGGAGAACAAGAACUUCCCAUGGAAACCAAUGUUAAACUUUUAAUCUAAAUUGUAUCUUUAAUGUCAUACUUGAUGCAUAGAUAAGAAUAUGUGUCACGUGUAUGUAAGCUGUAAAGUAUAAUAUAACAAAUCACUGUGAACCCAUCACUCAAACCCAAGUACUAGAACACGGUACCAGCCACUUGUAUCUGUCUUCCUCCCUAUGCGUUCCUUACCUCCCUCCCAGAAGUAACCACUCUCCUGAAUUUUGUGUUUGCUAUUUUUUUGCUCAUAGUUUUUGAGCUUUAUCAAAAUAGAAAUAUAUCUUUGGAGACUUGAUUUCUUCAUUCCAUUAUGUUUCUGAAAAUCAUUCAUGUCUUCAUGUGUGUUUCACCACUGUGUUGUAAUUAAUGGAUGAAACUACGGUUCUCCAGACGGGUUUUUGGGUUGUUUGCACUUGAGGGGGGGUUUGCAGAGAGACCUGCCACCGAAUAUUCGUGCUAAUGUCUCCUGGUCACAUGCAAGAGUUCAUUAUUGGGUCAUGAAAUACAGAAAUGUUCAGCUUCACAAACUAAUGACAGUUUUCCUAAGAGAUUGAAUUAAUUUACUUUCCUCUUAUUUCUACACAGUUUAUUUUCAUAUGUUUAUUGACUGUUUUCUCUGUAAUGGAAUUCUUAUUUAUGUUUUUUGCACAUUUUAAAAUAUAUUUGUCUGCAUUUUUCUUAUUGACAACUAGGAAUUCUUUAUAUAUUCUGAAUACUAGUCUUUUGUCAGUUAUACGUCUUGCAAAUGUUUUCUAGAUUUUGGCUUAUGUUUUCCCUGUGUCUUUGAUGAACAGACAUCCUAAGUUUAAUGUAGUCAAAUGUAUUAAUGUUUAUUUAUUUUUGUUUUCUUUAAGAAAUCCUUCCCUAGCCCAAGAUUAGGUAAAUAGUAUCCUAUGUAUCUUCUCAAAGUAUUGCUUUUCCUUCUUAGGACUUAAUACAUCUAGAAUUGCCUUUUGGGAUAGUUGAAUUAGGGAUUUGAUCUCUUUUAUUUUGUGUUCCAGACAGUUGAGCAAUUUGUCCAUCCACCUUUUUUAAAUUUUGCUCCUGCUUUCCCCCAUUGAUUUGCAAAGGUACCUCUUUCAUAUAUCAAAUACCAUGUGUGCAUGGUAUUUCUGGGCUCUCUAUUUUGUUCCACUGUUAGACUGUAAAUUCCUGCACCAAUAUCACACUGUUUUUCAUUUCCAUUGCUUUAUAUCAAAUCUUGCUUUCUAGAAAGCCUGUCUCAUCACUUUAUUCUUCUUCAGGAGUACAUUGGCUAUUCUGAGUCCUUUAUUCUUCUAUUUAAAUUUUAGAAUAAACUUAUGAAACUUUAAACAAGACAACAAAAACAAACAAAAAAUAUUGGAGUAUUUUUUCUAAUUGAAUUUAACCUAUGGAUAUCUGUGGGUCAAUGGGAAGAAAUGAAAACUUUAUAUGAUAUUAGCUUCCUAUCCAUGAACAUGGGCUGUCUUUCCAUUUAUUUUGGUCUUUAAUCCUUCAGUUGAGUUUUGUAAUCUUAUAGGUAUAGGUCUUGUACACCUUUAGAUUUAUUUCCAAGUAGCUUAAAAAUUGUAUUGAUGUGAAAUUCUUUUUAAAUUAUUUAUUGUUGGUAUAUAAAAAGGCAAUCAACUUUUAAGAUUAAUAUCAUCUGCCACAUAGCUAAACUCUAGUAUCAGAUCUAAUAAUUUGCCUGUACAUUCUUUUGGGUUGUCUAUAUAGACAGUUAUAUCAAAUGUGAAUAAUGACAGAUACGCUUUUGCUUUGCAGUCCUUAUACUUUAAUUUCUUUUUUAUGCCCUACUGAGCUGGCUAGGACCUCUAGUGUUGCAUAAAUGGGCAGUAACAGGUGUUCUUGCCUUCUUCCUGCCUUUCAAAGAAACUGCUGCUAAUAUUCCAAUAUUUUUGUAUUAAGAAUGAUGUUUGCUGUAGGGUUUUUUUGUUUAU